GACGAACGCUGGCGGCGUGCCUAAUACAUGCAAGUCGAACGCUUCUUUCCUCCCGAGUGCUUGCACUCAAUUGGAAAGAGGAGUGGCGGACGGGUGAGUAACACGUGGGUAACCUACCCAUCAGAGGGGGAUAACACUUGGAAACAGGUGCUAAUACCGCAUAACAGUUUAUGCCGCAUGGCAUAAGAGUGAAAGGCGCUUUCGGGUGUCGCUGAUGGAUGGACCCGCGGUGCAUUAGCUAGUUGGUGAGGUAACGGCUCACCAAGGCCACGAUGCGUAGCCGACCUGAGAGGGUGAUCGGCCACACUGGGACUGAGACACGGCCCAGACUCCUACGGGAGGCAGCAGUAGGGAAUCUUCGGCAAUGGACGAAAGUCUGACCGAGCAACGCCGCGUGAGUGAAGAAGGUUUUCGGAUCGUAAAACUCUGUUGUUAGAGAAGAACAAGGACGUUAGUAACUGAACGUCCCCUGACGGUAUCUAACCAGAAAGCCACGGCUAACUACGUG
rnacentral:rRNA from 1 species